AUUGAACGCUGGCGGCAGGCCUAACACAUGCAAGUCGAACGAGUGGCGGAGGGGUGAGUAAUGUCGUGGCAACUGCCUGAUGGAGGGGGAUAACUACUGUAACCGGUAGCUAAUACUGCAUACCAUGCGAUGGGCCGAGAGGGGAUUAGCUGGUUGGUGGGGUAACGGCUCACCAAGGCGACGAUCCCUAGCUGGUCUGAGAGGAUGACCAGCCACACUGGAACUGAGACACGGCCCAGACUCCUACGGGAGGCAGCAGUGGGGAAUAUUGCACAAUGGGCGAAAGCCUGAUGCAGCCAUGCCGCGUGUAUGAAGAAGGCCUUCGGGUUGUAAAGUACUGUCGGCAGGGAGGCGGUACCCGCAGAAGAAGCAACGGCUAACUCCGUGCCAGCAGCCGCGGUAAUAC
rnacentral:rRNA from 1 species